rnacentral:rRNA from 1 species
GAUGAACGCUGGCGGCGUGCCUAAUACAUGCAAGUCGAGCGAAGCGGGGACGGGUGAGUGACACGUGGAUACAAUCCUAUAAGACUGGGAUAAAUUAGGGGAACCGGAGCUAAACCGGAAACUUAUGGAGUGAUCCGCGCUGCAGGAGCUAGUUGGUAAGGUAGCGGCUUACCAAGGCAACGAUGCAUCGCCGACCUGAGAGGGUGAACGGCCACACUGGAACUGAGACACGGUCCAGACUCCUACGGGAGGCAGCAGUAGGGAAUCUUCCGCAAUGGGCGAAAGCCUGACGGAGCAACGCCGCGUGUGUGAUGAAGGUCUUCGGAUUGUAAAACUCUGUUAUUAGGGAAGCGGUACCUAAUCAGAAAGCCACGGCUAACUACGUGCCAGCAGCCGCGGUAAUUC